rnacentral:rRNA from 1 species
GAUGAACGCUGGCGGCACGCCUAAUACAUGCAAGUCGAACGAGAGGAAGGAAAGCUUGCUUUUCUGAAUCUAGUGGCGAACGGGUGAGUAACACGUAGGUAACCUGCCCAUGUGCCCGGGAUAACUUCUGGAAACGGAUGCUAAAACCGGAUAGGUAGCAGACAAGCAUUUGACUGCUAUUAAAGUGGCUAAGGCCAUGAACAUGGAUGGACCUGCGGUGCAUUAGCUAGUUGGGGAGGUAACGGCCCACCAAGGCGACGAUGCAUAGCCGGCCUGAGAGGGCGGACGGCCACAUUGGGACUGAGACACGGCCCAAACUCCUACGGGAGGCAGCAGUAGGGAAUUUUCGUCAAUGGGGGGAACCCUGAACGAGCAAUGCCGCGUGAGUGAGGAAGGUCUUCGGAUCGUAAAGCUCUGUUGUAAGAGAAAAACGACAUUCAUAGGGAAUGAUGAGUGAGUGAUGGUGUCUUACCAGAAAGUCACGGCUAACUACGUGCCAGCCGCCGCGGUAAUAC